GGAGAGGUGCUCGAGUGGCUGAAGAGGCACGCCUGGAAAGCGUGUAAAUACGAAAGUGUUUCGAGGGUUCGAAUCCCUCUCUCUCCG
rnacentral:tRNA from 1 species